rnacentral:rRNA from 1 species
AUUGAACGCUGGCGGCAUGCCUUACACAUGCAAGUCGAACGGUAACAGGUCUUCGGAUGCUGACGAGUGGCGAACGGGGGAGUAAUACAUCGGAACGUGCCCGAUCGUGGGGGAUAACGAAGCGAAAGCUUUGCUAAUACCGCAUACGAUCUACGGAUGAAAGCAGGGGACCGCAAGGCCUUGCGCGAACGGAGCGGCCGAUGGCAGAUUAGGUAGUUGGUGGGAUAAAAGCUUACCAAGCCGACGAUCUGUAGCUGGUCUGAGAGGACGACCAGCCACACUGGGACUGAGACACGGCCCAGACUCCUACGGGAGGCAGCAGUGGGGAAUUUUGGACAAUGGGCGAAAGCCUGAUCCAGCCAUGCCGCGUGCAGGAUGAAGGCCUUCGGGUUGUAAACUGCUUUUGUACGGAACGAAAAGACUCUGGUUAAUACCUGGGGUCCAUGACGGUACCGUAAGAAUAAGCACCGGCUAACUACGUG